GGUGGGGGACUGCGAGCUGAGAGAGCUGGAACUGAGGGACAGACAGGAACGCGCUGAGGGAGCUAGAACUGGAGGUGAGGGACAGCGGGAACGAGCUGAGGGAACCGGAGCUGGAGCUGAGGGAACCGGGGCGGCUGAAGGAACCAGGCGGGUCCUGAGGGGCGGGCCGGAGCGGACUGAGGGGGAGCCCGACAAGUGCAAGCCCUGAGGGAGCCCAGGCUGGGCGACCACAGAGGGUGGAUUAAAGUGAGGCGUGCAGUUGUUAUGAAGCAUCAUGGUCUUUCACGGCAUCUUCCAGGAGAAAUUCCAGGUCCAUUUCUCGCCCCUGAUUAUGUGAUCACAUGCCAGAGCACUCCGGGAGAGGGGAAGAUAAAGGCACUGACAGAUGAAGUCUAGUCCAAGAUGAAACAGAGAAGCAGUGGAAGGUCAGAAGUCCAAAGCAGUGUCUCUGGGUCUGAGCCACUGCUCUGUGUAAUGCUGCAAGUGUGGCAUUUUGGGGAUGGUUGUUUUAACUCUUAGAAAAGCAUUCAUACUUUCUCAAAUAAUGAUUGCCUACACCAUAACUUCACUUGAACAUAAAUAUAUGGUGAGAGCUGUGUAGUGUUUGUCCUUAGGAGGGAAAAAAACACUGGGAAAAAGCCAAGGCAGUAUGUCACUGUAUGUUCCUGUUUAUUCUACUUCUUAUUUUUCACAUGUUUUAUAAAAUGUGUAUCUCCAAUGACUAAUACUUCUAAGUAACCAAUUUGUGCCAGUAAAUGGAAGCACCAUCUGUAAGAAGCUGAUUUUCAGAAGCCAAGUUCUCAAACAUCUGAGGAGGAGGAGGUGUUAUAACUUAGUGAGAGACGACCAAAGUGUAGACUUGGGUUUGGGAGUCAGGAUGAUUUCAGAUGUAUUAUGUAAGCAGGAUGUGAGAGGAAAAGGGAAAUGGGGAGCAAAAUGAUGGAGCUCUUGUUCAGCGGGAACAAAGAUGAAGUAACCCUUGCUGAUAGAAAGGGUAAGAAAAACACAACAUUUGGGGAAAAAAAGACAUUUAAUUGAGUUUGAAAUGUAGCAGAUGCUGAUUGCUGACACAGUGAAGAACACAGACCCGUGUGCUUACUCAGUGACAUUCAAUGACUGUAAUAAAAUGAAGGUUAAUUAAAUAAAAGUAGCUGAG
rnacentral:lncRNA from 1 species